rnacentral:rRNA from 1 species
UAUCAAAAGCGGAGGAAAAGAAACCAACAGGGAUUGCCCCAGUAGCGGCGAGUGAAGCGGCAAGAGCUCAGAUUUGAAAUCGUGUUUCGGCACGAGUUGUAGAGUGUAGGCGGGAGUCUCUGUGGAGCGCGGUGUCCAAGUCCCUUGGAACAGGGUGCCUGAGAGGGUGAGAGCCCCGUAGGGUGCUGCGCGAAGCUUUUGAGGCCCUGCUGACGAGUCGAGUUGUUUGGGAAUGCAGCUCCAAGCGGGUGGUAAAUUCCAUCUAAGGCUAAAUAUUGGCGAGAGACCGAUAGCGAACAAGUACUGUGAAGGAAAGAUGAAAAGCACUUUGAAAAGAGAGUGAAACAGCACGUGAAAUUGUUGAAAGGGAAGGGUAUUGGGCUCGACAUGGGGGGUGCGCACCGCUGUCUCUUGUAGGCGGCGCUCUGGGCGCCCUCUGGGCCAGCAUCGGUUCCUGCUGCGGGAGAAGGGGCUCCGGAAAGUGGCUCUUCGGAGUGUUAUAGCCGGGGCCAGAUGCCGCGUGUGGGGACCGAGGACUGCGGCUUCUGUCUCGGAUGCUGGCAUAACGGCGCAAUACCG